rnacentral:piRNA from 1 species
UCGACUCGUUUUUAUCUUUUCAGC